rnacentral:lncRNA from 1 species
GUCUUCCGCUUCACGGAUGUGGGUAAACUUCCUCCACCAGUACUGCAGUUUGUGGAAGUCACCUUUGGGUACACCCCUGACAACCUCAUCUACAAGAACCUUGAUUUUGGGGUGGACCUUGAUUCGAGGAUAGCAUUAGUGGGACCUAAUGGAGCAGGGAAGAGCACAUUGCUCAAGCUGAUGACUGGUGACCUUGGUCCACUGGAUGGUAUGGUAAGGCGUCACAAUCAUCUCAGGAUUGCUCA